rnacentral:rRNA from 1 species
AGUGAACGCUGGCGGUAGGCCUAACACAUGCAAGUCGAACGGCAGCACAGUAAGAGCUUGCUCUUACGGGUGGCGAGUGGCGGACGGGUGAGGAAUACAUCGGAAUCUACUUUUUCGUGGGGGAUAACGUAGGGAAACUUACGCUAAUACCGCAUACGACCUACGGGUGAAAGCAGGGGAUCUUCGGACCUUGCGCGAUUGAAUGAGCCGAUGUCGGAUUAGCUAGUUGGCGGGGUAAAGGCCCACCAAGGCGACGAUCCGUAGCUGGUCUGAGAGGAUGAUCAGCCACACUGGAGCUGAGACCCGGUCCGGACUCCUACGGGAGGCCGAAUUGGGGAAGUUGGGACAAGGGGGGAAAGCCUGAUCCAGCGAUACCGCGUGGGUGAAGAAGGCCUUCGGGUGUAAAGCCCUUUUGUUGGGAAAGAAAAGCAGCAGGUUAAUACCCCGCUGUUCUGACGGUACCCAAAGAAUAAGCACCGGCUAACUUCGUG